AACGAACGCUGGCGGCAGGCCUAACACAUGCAAGUCGAACGCGUCCUUCGGGACGAGUGGCAGACGGGUGAGUAACGCGUGGGAACGUACCCUUUGGUUCGGAACAACUCCGGGAAACUGGAGCUAAUACCGGAUAAGCCCUUCGGGGGGAAGAUUUAUCGCCAAAUGAUCAGCCCGCGUGAGAUUAGGUAGUUGGUGGGGUAAUGGCCUACCAAGCCGACGAUCUCUAGCUGGUCUUAGAGGAUGACCAGCCACACUGGAACUGUGACACGGUCCAGACUCCUACGGGAGGCAGCAGUGGGGAAUAUUGGGCAAUGGACGAAAGUUUGACCCAGCCAUGCCGCGUGAGUGAUGAAGGCUCUAGGGUUGUAAAGCUCUUUCGCCGAUGAAGAUAAUGACGGUAGUCGGAGAAGAAGCCCCGGCUAACUUCGUGCCAGCCGCCGCGGUAAUAC
rnacentral:rRNA from 1 species